UAGGGAAUCUUCCACAAUGGACGCAAGUCUGAUGGAGCAACGCCGCGUGAGUGAAGAAGGUUUUCGGACCGUAAAGCUCUGUUGUUGGUGAAGAAGGAUAGAGGUAGUAACUGGCCUUUAUUUGACGGUAAUCAACCAGAAAGUCACGGCUAACUACGUGCCAGCAGCCGCGGUAAUACGUAGGUGGCAAGCGUUGUCCGGAUUUAUUGGGCGUAAAGCGAGCGCAGGCGGAAGAAUAAGUCUGAUGUGAAAGCCCUCGGCUUAACCGAGGAAUUGCAUCGGAAACUGUUUUUCUUGAGUGCAGAAGAGGAGAGUAGAACUCCAUGUGUAGCGGUGGAAUGCGUAGAUAUAUGGAAGAAUACCAGUGGCGAAGGCGGCUCUCUGGUCUGCAACUGACGCUGAGGCUCGAAAGCAUGGGUAGCGAACAGGAUUAGAUACCCUGGUAGUCCAUGCCGUAAACGAUGAGUGCUAAGUGUUGGGAGGCUUCCGCCUCUCAGUGCUGCAGCUAACGCAUUAAGCACUCCGCCUGGGGGAG
rnacentral:rRNA from 1 species